rnacentral:misc_RNA from 1 species
AAGACUAUAGACCUGCGGAGUACCUGCGGAAGGAUCAUUACAAGUGACCCCGGUCUAACCACCGGGAUGUUCAUAACCCUUUGUUGUCCGACUCUGUUGCCUCCGGGGCGACCCUGCCUUCGGGCGGGGGCUCCGGGUGGACACUUCAAACUCUUGCGUAACUUUGCAGUCUGAGUAAACUUAAUUAAUAAAUUAAAACUUUUAACAAUGGAUCUCU